rnacentral:rRNA from 1 species
CCUACGGGUGGCAGCAGUGGGGAAUAUUGGACAAUGGGGGGAACCCUGAUCCAGCCAUGCCGCGUGUGUGAAGAAGGCCCUCGGGUUGUAAAGCACUUUCAGUGAGGAAGAACGCCUGGUGGUUAAUACCCAUCAGGAAAGACAUCACUCACAGAAGAAGCACCGGCUAACUCCGUGCCAGCAGCCGCGGUAAUACGGAGGGUGCGAGCGUUAAUCGGAAUUACUGGGCGUAAAGCGCGCGUAGGUGGCUUGAUAAGCCGGUUGUGAAAGCCCCGGGCUCAACCUGGGAACGGCAUCCGGAACUGUCAAGCUAGAGUCCAGGAGAGGAAGGUAGAAUUCCCGGUGUAGCGGUGAAAUGCGUAGAGAUCGGGAGGAAUACCAGUGGCGAAGGCGGCCUUCUGGACUGACACUGACACUGAGGUGCGAAAGCGUGGGUAGCAAACAGGAUUAGAUACCCGUGUAGUC